rnacentral:rRNA from 1 species
AUUGAACGCUGGCGGCAUGCCUAACACAUGCAAGUCGAACGAGUGGCGGACGGGUGAGUAAUGUCUGGGAAACUGCCUGAUGGCGGGGGAUAACUACUGGAAACGGUAGCUAAUACCGCAUACCAUCGGAUGUGCCCAGAUGGGAUUAGCUAGUUGGUGGGGUAAAGGCUCACCUAGGCGACGAUCCCUAGCUGGUCUGAGAGGAUGACCAGCCACACUGGAACUGAGACACGGUCCAGACUCCUACGGGAGGCAGCAGUGGGGAAUAUUGCACAAUGGGCGCAAGCCUGAUGCAGCCAUGCCGCGUGUAUGAAGAAGGCCUUCGGGUUGUAAAGUACUUUUAGCAGGGAGGCGUUACCCGCAGAAGAAGCACCGGCUAACUACGUGCCAGCAGCCGCGGUAAUAC